AACCAGGAAAGGAUAGAGCAAUACGACCAUAUGUGUUGCUCACCAAGCGCAUCUAGCACACGUUGCUGAGGAGUGACCAACGUCUUGCAGUUUGCUGUGAUGGCAACCACAGAUUCAUGUGUUGCUGGCUGAGAGACCUAGGAGUAAAAAUGGGACGGAUAUUUCCCGUCAUCCCGCCUGACCCGAGGCUUAUGGGAAUAAUGUGGGAAAGAAGAAUGGUUAACCAAUAUUAUUCGAGUUCGAAUCCAAAUUGACAAAAAAAUAUAGGUUAGGAUAUGUGAAGAGCUAUAUCUGCCUGAAUGUCUCAUAUUAUUAAAUAUGUAAUAAAAUAUAUUAUGAGUUUAUAUAUAAACAUGGUAAAAUUAAGGUAAUCACUAUUUUAUAAGCUCACGAGUAGUAUUGUAUAUUUUUUUAUUAAAUAUUAUUUUUAAAUUCUAAUAAUCUUUCUAGAUUUAAUACACACAUAUAUAUAUUAGAGGUAAAAAAUACCCGUUUUUGAAUCCGAAUGU
rnacentral:lncRNA from 1 species